UACGUAGGGGGCUAGCGUUGUCCGGAAUCAUUGGGCGUAAAGGGCUCGUAGGCGGCCAACUAAGUCAGACGUGAAAUCCCCAGGCUCAACCUGGGAACUGCGUCUGAUACUGGGUGGCUUGAAUCCGGGAGAGGGAUGCGGAAUUCCUGGUGUAGCGGUGAAAUGCGUAGAUAUCUGGAGGAACACCGGUGGCGAAGGCGGCAUCCUGGACCAACACUGACGCUGAGUGAGCGAAAGCCAGGGGAGCAAACGGG
rnacentral:rRNA from 1 species